GCGAUCCCAAGGCGCACAAGUGCUCUCACCAGGCUGCGCGCUGGCGGGUCGGUGCACAGGGACGGGGUCGCCGCCCACGCGCGCUUGGUUCAGGGAGCCCAGGCUGUCCCUACCCGCGGCUACAAAAGCUCGCCGAGUCUUCCUGUCCACCCAAUCGCCCCACAUGUCAGCGGUUGGUCGCCUCGCGGUGCAGUGCUGGGCACGCGAGCCCCUCCCGCAGUCAUUCUCAGCACAAGCACCAGCCUGGAGCCCCGCAGCGACAGAGCUGAGAGCCCCCAAGCCGCAGAGGUCGUGCGGAGCAGGUUGGUCUAAUUGAAGGCAAUGGAGAAGUAAGUCUUUAUGGAUCAAAAUCUUAGCUCUAGAAAAGGCCUAAGGCAAUAGCUAAUUGAGACUAUGCAUCACUAUUAAGGCAUCUUCACUAAAGGGCGCUGUGGAAACGCUGCCUGAGAUGCAGACACCUGUCAGAAGGGGGCUAAAUUUCAAACAAGGAACGUGGUGUUGCAUCACAAUAAAGUAGAUUCUAGUAUUACCUUCCUUUUUCAGAAGAGGAGACCAAUGGGGAGCAUUGGAAUGAUUUGGUUGCAAGCAUACUACACUACUUGUAAACUGCAGACACAGGCUUAAAAAAAGUGAAAAACUAACCAUGCAAUAAAGAAUGGAAUGAACCAUGAAGCUGUUUCUGUGGCCAGUCAUGUUUUUGAAGCAUAUCCCAUGCUAAUUUCUAGAACAGAAGAAACACACGUGUUCUUGUGUGUAAACCCAGUCCAUGGAAGAGACCGUCUGCUUGUCCCUCCUGAUCUCUGGGCCCAGACAACCAGUAGUCACCAUUCCAAGUGAGGGGUGGCUGCAACUCUACAGCCCCGUUCGUCUCUCCUCACUGUCAAAGCUGCUGAGACCCCAGACUCGACACUUGAAAGAAACCCAUGUCUGUGAAGCACUUGUGGACCAUUCAAGAUUGUGGAAGAAUCACUCAAGAGAAGGAGAUAGGUGAUGGGAUCUAGCUUCUGAUGGUUUCUAUUUUAUUGAAUGUCUAAUAGGGCAAGAAUUUGAAAAACGAGAAUGUUUGCCAUGCAGGAGGACCUGGGAAGGAGAUAACACAUUUACAGGGAGAAAGAUUGGGAUUCAGUUGGGAGGAGUAACUGAGGAAAGGGGUCACUCAAAAUAUUUUGUAUUUUAGGUCCUUUUUCUAUUAAGGAGGAAUGGAUUAUCAAAGCCUUAACAUUAAAUUGUAUUGUGUCAGGUGAAUUGCUAUGGUUUGAAUGUGGUGUGUCCCCCUCCCAAACUCACAUUGAAUUUUUUUUUUUUUUUUUGAGACGGAGUCUCGCUCUGUUGCCCAGGCUGGAGUGCAGUGGUGCGAUCUUGGCUCACUACAAGCUCUGCCUCCCGGGUUCAAGAGAUUCUCCUGCCUCAGCCUCCCGAGUAGCUGGGAUUACAGAUGUUCGUCACCACACCUGGCUAAUUUUUGUAUUUUUAAUAGAGAUGGGGUUUCACUAUGUUGGCUAGGCUGGUCUCAAACUCCCGACAUCAGGUGAUCCACCCACCUCGGCCUCCCAAAGUGCUGGGAUUAGAGGAGUGAGCCACUGCACCCAGCCUCACGUUGAGGUUUAAUUGCCAUUGUAACAGUAUAAAGAUGUGGGACCUUUACGAGGUGAUUAGGCAAUGAGGACUCUGCCCUCAUGAAUGGAUUAAUGCUGUUAUCAUGGGAGUGGAUUCCUUAUAAAGGGACACGUUCAGCACCCCCUUGCUCUCUCUCUCACCUUCCGCCAUAUGAUGAUGGGGCACAAAGGCCAUCAUCAGAUGUUGGCCCCUUGUUCUCGAACUUCCCAACCUCCAGAGCAGUAAAAAAAUAAAUCACUGUUCUUUAC
rnacentral:lncRNA from 10 species